UACGUAGGGUGCGAGCGUUAAUCGGAAUUACUGGGCGUAAAGCGUGCGCAGGCGGUUUUGUAAGCCAGAUGUGAAAUCCCCGGGCUUAACCUGGGAAUGGCAUUUGGGACUGCAAGGCUCGAGUGCGGCAGAGGAGACUGGAAUUCCUGGUGUAGCAGUGAAAUGCGUAGAUAUCAGGAGGAACACCGAUGGCGAAGGCAGGUCUCUGGGCUGACACUGA
rnacentral:rRNA from 1 species